GCAGCAGUGGGGAAUUUUCCGCAAUGGGCGAAAGCCUGACGGAGCAAUACCGCGUGAGGGAGGAAGGCUCUUGGGUUGUAAACCUCUUUUCUCAGGGAAGAAAAAUGACGGUACCUGAGGAAUAAGCAUCGGCUAACUCCGUGCCAGCAGCCGCGGUAAUACGGAGGAUGCAAGCGUUAUCCGGAAUGAUUGGGCGUAAAGGGUCCGCAGGUGGCAUUGAAAGUCUGCUGUUAAAGAGUCUGGCUCAACCAGAUAAAGGCAGUGGAAACUACAAAGCUAGAGUGCGUUCGGGGUAGAGGGAAUUCCCGGUGUAGCGGUGAAAUGCGUAGAGAUCAGGAAGAACACCGGUGGCGAAAGCGCUCUACUAGGCCGCAACUGACACUGAGGGACGAAAGCUAGGGGAGCGAAUGGGAUUAGAUACCCCAGUAGUCCUAGCCGUAAACGAUGGAUACUAGGCGUUGCUUGUAUCGACCCGAGCAGUGCCGUAGCUAACGCGUUAAGUAUCCCGCCUGGGGAGUACGCACGCAAGUGUGAAACUCAAAUGAAUUGA
rnacentral:rRNA from 1 species